CCUACGGGUGGCUGCAGUGGGGAAUAUUGCACAAUGGGCGCAAGCCUGAUGCAGCAACGCCGCGUGAGGGAUGACAGCCUUCGGGUUGAAACCUCUUUUAGCAGGGAAGCGGUACCUGCAGAAAAAGCACCGGCUAACUACGUGCCAGCAGCCGCGGUAAUACGUAGGGUGCAAGCGUUAUCCGGAAUUAUUGGGCGUAAAGAGCUCGUAGGCGGUUUGUCACGUCUGCUGUGAAAUCUGGAGGCUCAACCUCCAGCCUGCAGUGGGUACGGGCAGACUAGAGUGCGGUAGGGGAGAUUGGAAUUCCUGGUGUAGCGGUGGAAUGCGCAGAUAUCAGGAGGAACACCGAUGGCGAAGGCAGAUCUCUGGGCCGUACUGACGCUGAGGAGCGAAAGGGUGGGGAGCAAACAGGCUUAGAUACCCUUGUAGUC
rnacentral:rRNA from 1 species